AAGUCCUAUAAAAGGCAACACACCAAACGCGUUUCCAUCAAGGAAUUUGCAGAAAUGAAACUCUUAGCAAUUUUUGUGACUUUGUGCGCCAUUUGCAGCGUUUAUUCUAAAACGCCAACUAAGCCUCAUUCUGUGAUAGCGAGAGAAGGUAUUGUUCAUAGUCCUUCAAAACUGACCAAGAAAGGAGCCUAGUUUAACCGAUUUAUUUCUUGAAUGAAUGCCAAUAAACUGAAAAUGUAAAUAAGAAAAAA